rnacentral:lncRNA from 1 species
CGGCGACCUGGGUCCUCGCACCACCAUGCUAUUUCCACCCGCCGGUACACGGAGACUCUACGCGUGCGCAUUACCCAGGAAGGAACGCAGAGCCUUCAUCAGCGAUGUCCAUCCAGGAGCCAUCAUCAGUGACACUUGUCUAGCACUGUUUGUUCUCUGUAAGGUGCCUGUGGUUGACCACUCUCUGGGCAAGUCAGGAGAUUCUGGGUAAUUUUGUACUCAGUACUACCAUUUGUCCAGUGUCCCCCCCCCCAUGGGUGGUUCCCCACUGGAAGAGGGUAUCCCAAGUUGCCUUAGAGCCUUGACUGGUCUCUAUGUUGCUACUCUGUUUAGCUUCUGAGUCACUGAUCCAUUUCUGGUGACCAAUAGGAACUAAAAAGGGAGUGACACAUGGUUGAAGGAUCUCAUCAGUUGAAAACCAGAUUGGGUCCUCAGCCACCAAGAGCUGUCCUUUGGGACUAUAAGGGUUUGUAUGUAGUUAGAAAUCAUCUUUACUGAGAUAAACAUGGUGACGCAGGCCAAGAGGUAGAGGCAGGAGGAUCAGGAAUUCAAUGUCAUCCUCUAUUAUAUAGUGAGUUCAAGGCCAGACUGG